UUCUAUCGGUGCGGGGGGGGGGGGAGGGGGUUGGUCUUCUUGAAGGCGGGACCGAGGCGGAAAGGGUAACUGGAAAGUGAAUCUGAUCCGCGACUGGGCGGCGUCCAGCUGCGGGAAAGGAAACUUCUGCAAGAGCUUGAGCAUCAAAAGUCAAGGGGCAAGGACCUUGUGCAGUGUCUUACAGGGUUUCCAGGAAGAUGAGCACUCACCAGCCAGCCUGAACUGCUCCAAAACCCACCACAAGAAUGAUACCUGUGCAGAUGGGCCAAGAAGUACCUAAAAAGUUACCUUUACUUUAUUUUAAUGCUAAGAUCUCCACCGCAGGAGGAGCUCAAACCUUAUUAGCAUAGCAUCUGACAUAUAUGAAAGCAUGAUUUCAAACUACGUCUCUGUAAGCUUAUACCCACCACUACAUGUGAUGAUGAAAGUUCCAUUUUGAAUAUUCAUUCCUCACCUGAGAUAAAGACACCUGCUUUCCCUUGCUUGGGGAGCCACGGCUUUGGAAAAGAUUCCCCAUGGUCUCUUUAUGUGCUGCAAAUAAAAUUUACUUUGUUUGACAACUUCUUCUGGUGAAGGCUUUGAUUUCAACUCAUCAGGAAAUGAACUCACUUUGGUUCAGUAACACUUACACCCAAACAGAGAAUACACAUCUUUUAAAAAUUUCACAAAUAAAAUACACUCAAAGACUUCAUUAACUAAUGAAGUUUUUAACUUUACUGAAUAUUUUUGUUGCAAAUAUUUUAGGGAGACAAAGGAGAAGAUUAUAUCACACACCACACAGCAAGCACUUAACUGCAUUGAGGUAUUUUAUCUCAUUUUCAGCUUGCACAUUCUAAACAGUUUUUUCCCUUGCUUUAUCUUUCCCCAAUACAUUGUAACUUUUCUUUGGUGUGAGUAGAUGCCCAGGAGUGUGUUUGGAACACGUAGAUCCUUUGUGAUUGCCAGUAGCGUGAAAAAUGUAAACACAAAAUUUGAAUUUAUUCUGAGCUUACAGACUUGGCUCACUGACCAGGAGGUCGUGGCUACAGCAGGGCCUUGGGAAAUAGAAUUCAGGGUAGAAUUGUAGUGAACUCCUGAAGCCCUCUUCAUCUCUCUAAGUCUGUCUUUGCUCAUUUGCUUUGGUCUUAGAUCUUCUAGGUCAACACCCCUAGCCACAUGAAAGAGGAACCUCCCUUUUUUUCUUUAAUUGUGAAUGGGUAGUAGUUUCAUGAAUUCUCCAAAUACAGAAUAUGUGUGUGCACAAAUAUGGAGGAAUGUGCCUAUGUGAGCCCAAGAAUCAAUGUGUGUGUGUAGAGAUGCAUGAUACAUGUAUAUAUGAACAGCCCGUGCUCUUGGUUCAGCAUAGAACUAUC